rnacentral:rRNA from 1 species
ACGGCCCAGACUCCUACGGGAGGCAGCAGUGGGGAAUCUUGCGCAAUGGGCGGAAGCCUGACGCAGCAACGCCGCGUGGGGGAUGACGGCCUUCGGGUUGUAAACCUCUUUCGCGAUCGACGAAGGUCCCGCUUNUUGCGGGGUUGACGGUAGGUCGAGAAGAAGCACCGGCCAACUACGUGCCAGCAGCCGCGGUAAUACGUAGGGUGCGAGCGUUGUCCGGAAUUAUUGGGCGUAAAGAGCUCGUAGGCGGUGUGUCGCGUCGGCCGUGAAAACCUGGGGCUCAACUCUGGGCGUGCGGUCGAUACGGGCAUCACUUGAGUUCGGCAGGGGAGACUGGAAUUCCUGGUGUAGCGGUGAAAUGCGCAGAUAUCAGGAGGAACACCGGUGGYGAAGGYGGGUCUCUGGGCCGAUACUGACGCUGAGGAGCGAAAGCAUGGGUAGCGAACAGGAUUAGAUACCCUGGUAGUCCAUGCCGUAAACGUUGGGCGCUAGGUGUGGGGUCCAUUCCACGGGUUCCGUGCCGCAGCUAACGCAUUAMGCGCCCCGCCUGGGGAGUACGGCCGCAAGGCUAAAACUCAAAGGAAUUGA